rnacentral:other from 1 species
GCUGACCUUACAGCAAUUCUAUCACUCUACAUUCCAAAGAAAUCCUUCGUCAGCUG